AGAGUUUGAUCCUGGCUCAGGAUGAACGCUGGCGGCAUGCUUUACACAUGCAAGAUCGAACGGGAAGUGGUGUUUCCAGUGGGGCGGACGGCGUGAGUAACGCGUAAGAACCUGCCCUUGGGAGGGAACAACAGCUGGAAACGGCUGCUAAUACCCCCGUAAGCUGAGGAGCGAAAGGAGGAAUCCGCCCAAGGAGGGGCUCGCGUCUGAUUAGCUAGUUGGUGAGGUAAUAGCUUACCAAGGCGGUGAUCAGUAGCUGGUCCGAGAGGAUGAUCAGCCACACUGGGACUGAGACAAGGCCCAGACUCCUACGGGAGGCAGCAGUGGGGAAUUUUCCGCAAUGGGCGAAAGCCUGACGGAGCAAUGCCGCGUGGAGGUAAAAGGCCUACGGGUCAUGAACUUCUUUUCCUGGAGAAGAAACAAUGACGGUAUCCGGGGAAUAAGCAUCGGCUAACUCUGUGCCAGCAGCCGCGGUAAGACAGAGGAUGCAAGCGUUAUCCGGAAUGAUUGGGCGUAAAGCGUCUGUAGGUGGCUUUUUAAGUUCGCCGUUCAAAUCCCAGGGCUCAACCCUGGACAGGUGGUGAAAACUACUAAGCUAGAGUACGGUAGGGGCAGAGGGAAAUUUCCGGUGGAGCGGUGAAAUGCGUAGAGAUCGGAAGGAACACCAAUGGCCGAAAGCACUCUGCUGGGCCGACACUGACACUGAGAGACGAAAGCUAGGGGAGCGAAUGGGAUUAGAGACCCCAGUAGUCCUAGCCGUAAACGAUGGAUACUAGGUGGCUGUGCGUAUCGACCCGUGCAAUGCUGUAGCUAACGCGUUAAGUAUCCCGCCUGGGGAGUACGUUCGCAAGAAUGAAACUCAAAGGAAUUGACGGGGGCCCGCACAAGCGGUGGAGCAUGUGGUUUAAUUCGAUGCCAAAGCGAAGAACCUUACCAGGGCUUGACAUGCCGCGAAUCCUCUUGAAAGAGAGGAGUGCCUUCGGGAACGCGGACACAGGUGGUGCGCAUGGCUGUCGUCUCGAGACUAAUUCGUUGUGUCCGGAGGGGUUUGGGUUUACAUUAGUCCGUCAUAACGUGAACAUUUAAGAAAGUCGACAACCCUCGGUGUUUAGUUGCCAAACGUAAUUUUAGUUUGGAGAAAGCCUAAGCUGAAUCAAACCUGCCGGUGAAGAUUUAGAAGCCGGAGGAAGGUGAGGAUGACGCCCCUCAAGUGCUCUCUUCAUCCAUCCUGCCCACUGUAUUAUAUUGCUGCGCUUUGUCAGCUGAGAGAGGAGCAAGACAAACAGCUGCUGAUUAAUUUAUUUAGUAGGAACACAUUUCAAUAUUUGUGUCGUUCCUAGUAUAUAGAAUGGUAGCAUGCUGUGUUUCUGUUGGAGAAUAUCUGAUGAGAAGAUUAAUUCGGCGCUUAGCGAAUACCUCGUUCACUGAAGAUUCAAAGAAAGGCCUCUGAGCAAUUCCA
rnacentral:rRNA from 1 species